CCCCUAGUAACUGCGAGUGAAGCGGGAAAAGCUCAAAUUUAAAAUCUGGCGGUCUUCGGCUGUCCGAGUUGUAGUCUGGAGAAGCGUCUUCCGCGUCGGACCGUGUACAAGUCUCUUGGAACAGAGCGUCAUAGAGGGUGAGAAUCCCGUCUUUGACACGGACUACCGAUGCUUUGUGAUGCGCUCUCAAAGAGUCGAGUUGUUUGGGAAUGCAGCUCAAAAUGGGUGGUAAAUUCCAUCUAAAGCUAAAUAUUGGCGAGAGACCGAUAGCGAACAAGUACCGUGAGGGAAAGAUGAAAAGCACUUUGGAAAGAGAGUUAAACAGUACGUGAAAUUGCUGAAAGGGAAACGCUUGAAGUCAGUCGCGUCGUCCAGAACUCAACCUUGCCUUCGCGCUCGGUGCACUUUCUGUUUGACGGGCCAGCAUCAGUUUUGACCGUCGGAAAAAGGCCUGCGGAAUGUGGCACCUCCGGGUGUGUUAUAGCCGUGGGUCGUAUACGAUGGUUGGGACUGAGGACCGCAGCACGCCUUCUUGGCCGGGGCUCGCCCACGUACGUGCUUAGGAUGCUGGCGUAAUGGCUUUAAACGACCCGUCUUGAAACACGGACCAAGGAGUCUAACAUGCAUGCGAGUGUUUGGGUGGAAAACCCGAGCGCGCAACGAAAGUGAAAGUUGGGAUCCCUGUCGUGGGGAGCACCGACGCCCAUACCAGACCUUCUGUGACGGAUAUGCGGUCGAGCAUGUAUGUUGGGACCCGAAAGAUGGUGAACUAUGCCUGAAUAGGGUGAAGCCAGAGGAAACUCUGGUGGAGGCUCGUAGCGAUUCUGACGUGCAAAUCGAUCGUCAAAUUUGGGUAUAGGGGCGAAAGACUAAUCGAACCAUCUAGUAGCUGGU
rnacentral:rRNA from 1 species